rnacentral:lncRNA from 1 species
CAAGGCAUGUGAGUGGCUCCAAUCUUGAAGAUGUGGUGAGUACCCAUUUUUCCCAACGCUUAAAUUUAUAAUUCUAAUUCUUUUCAAUUAUUAACUUGAUUUUUAUUUUAUUUCAUGGGUAUGAUAUGAAUGCAAAAACACUUUUCUUGAAUGAUAAUAAAUCUCCAAAUAGGUAUUUCAAGUUGUAUCAUGCUUGGCAAAUCUUAAAAGAUUGCCCAAAAUAAAAUGGCCUAUGUGAAUCUCCCACACAAACAUUCAAAGAUUCUUCUCAUAGUGGCAAUACAGUCAAUUUGGAGGAAGAUGAAGAUGAUGUGGUCAUGCCACUCCAAGGCCGUUGGGAAGAGAUCAACAGAAGAAUGAAAAAAAGAAAGGGAAAUGUGUUGAAAGUUAUCUCAACCAAAGUGGAAAGUUCUUGUCUGAAUUGGUUCAACAGGGAAAUGAGGCAAAGAAGGAUAGGAGGUGAAAGUUAGAGUUCUUACAAGAGCAACAUGCCUAUCAAAUCUAAUAAGAUAAGGAGGCCAAUGAACAGAGGAUAAUGUCCAUGAGCCUAUCCAAAUUUACUCCAAGAAAGAAGAAGUAUUGUUAGAAUAAGCAAGACAAAAUUAUUGAGGCCCAGAUGAAUGCAAGUUCCACCGACAAUCCAGAAGACAACUCUGGAGACUAUUAUCCAAGCCCUCCACAUAGUGGUUAUUAAUUUAUGUUUAUUUGUAAUUGUUAUUUAUCUUUAUUUAUAAUUGUCGUUUAUCUUUAUUUAUAAUUGUUGUUGUAAUUGUUGUUUAUCUUUAUUUUUAACUAUCGUUUAUCUUUAUUUAUGAUUGUCGUUUAUUUUUCUAUGAUUAGUCUUUUUUAAAAUUCAAUGAUAAACCACAUCAUUCAUUAAAAUCACACAACCACUUUUAUAAUUUAAACGAACUUUCAUAAUUUAAACAUACAACAUAAUUUAAACACACAACAUAAUUUAAACAAACAACGUAGCUCAUUGCCCCUCUUAUUUGCAUCUCCAAAUGUGGUUGAUCAAAUCAUUUCUUAGAUUGUGAUGCACUUGUGAAGCACGAACUCAAUUAUGAUGGAACAUGUAGUCUGAGAUAGUUUAUCUGCCUCGGUUUAUAUAUUACGUGAUAGUUGGCUCAAGCUCAUAAGCAAGUCUUGCUCUUGCUCUUCUAGAUGUUCGUGGACAAUAAUCAUCAUCAUCAGAUUCUGCAUCUAGAUCUUCAACAAUCAUGUUGUGCAAUAUUAUGCAUAUCAUCAUGAUUGAAUGAAGUUGUUCUUUACGCCACAUACGUGCAGGUCCCCUAACAAUUGCUGAUUGAGCCUGAAGUAUUCCGAAGGCUCCUUCGACAUCCUUCCAACAACUUUUUUUUUUGUGUGUGUCUGUGUGGACAAAUAGUCUUUUUUUGGAGUAUCCCGUUGAGAAAUCGUCUUAACCAAUGUAGCCCAACUGGGUAGAUACCAUCAGCCAAGUAAUAACCCAGAUUGUAUUCAUUUCCAUUGACAAUAUAUUGGAUAUGGGGAGACACUUCAUUGACUACAUCAUUAAACAACGAGGAACGAGGUAGGACGUUGAUAUCGUUGUUCGAUCCGACGACUCCAAAAAAGACAUGCCACAUCCAAGUGUCAUACGAGGCCACUGCCUGUAGAACGACAAUUGGCUUAUUCUUAUAGCUGGUAAACUGGCGUGCCCAAGUAGUGGGGCAAUUCUUCCAUUCUCAAUGCAUGUAGUCAAGACUGCCUAACAUGCCUAGAAAUCCUCUGCGACUAGCCUUGUGCAAGAGCCUAUAAAGGUCAGUCAAAUUUGGGGGACGGAGGUACCACUGGCCAUACACGGCUUCAAUAAUGAACCAAAAUUUUCGCAAAUAUUCAUGGGUUAUAGAUUCACCCAAUCUAUAGUACUCGUCGGUGCAGUCUGCCGAGCAUCCAUAUGCGAGCAUUCGAAAAACGGAUGUUAGCUUCUGCUCUGGGGAUAGACUUUGUCGUCCACAAGCGUCUAUCUUCUGGGUAAAGUAUAGCUCAUGUGCAACAACAUUAUUCAAGAUGUGAUAGAAAAGCUCUCUUCUCAUGCGGAACCACCUGCGAAAGUCCACUGGGGCUAAAGUGGUCUUUCACAAACGUAGUCCUUCAUAAGACUCUUAUGAUGUUUUUCUCUCUUCCGAUUCUUGUAUUCAUGGCCUACAACAGAACCACCAUGUUUAGAUUGUUGAGCAUAUUGCUCCAACAAAAACGUAUGGUGUUGAAUAGCCGUUGCAACCCUCUGUUGAUGAAGGUCAUCAUCAUCAAAAUCAUCAUUGAAGAAAUUUUGUAUAGCAUUCCCACGUGAAUUCAUUGUAAGAAGGAGAAUGAGAUUGAAGGAGAUUGUGUGGUCAAUUCAGUAGAAUAACACUUCUUAAAUAGACAAGAGAAUGAGAUGACCUACAUGUUUGAAAAUAAUUGAAUGAAGAUAGGAAAAAAUAGGGAAAGAUAAGGGAAUCCAAUAAAGUGAGAUGAACAAAGAUGAGCAAUGGUUCAGAAUAUGAUUGAAACUAGACAAGAUGGGAAAUGGUUUAAAAAAUAAUUGAAUGAAGAUAGGAAAAGAUAGGGAAAGAUAAAGGAAUCUAAUAAAGUGAGAUGGACAAAGUUGAGCAAUGGUUCAUAACAUGAUUGAAACAAGACAAUAGGGGAUGGGAAAGGGUUCAGAAAAUAAUUGAAGAACAUAAGUGGAGGUAGGCAAAAGUUCAGAAUAUUAUUGAAUUUGGAUAAAUGAAUCCAAUGAAGUAAAAGUAAAAGUAAAAAUGGAAGACAAUUAUGGCAAUGGCUUCAAUGAAGGGUUGAAUUAUUCCACGCAUACAUACGGUAAAUAAUCUACCCAAAUCCCAAAGAGGUGUGAAUUGGAAACCACAAGAAGAUGAGGCAUUGUGCAAGGGCGGGUUUCUAUCUCUGAAGAUGGGGCUAUUGGCACGAAUCAAUCAAAUGACUCAUUUUGGUUGCGUGUGUACCAAAAGUUUUUGGAAAAUGAUCCGGACAUGAGCGGAGCAAGGGUACGAUCGCCGCAAGCUAUUGCUUCUCGAUUCAAGAUCAUCAACCAACAAUGUUCUCUAUGGAAGGCAUGUAUGAUAAAGACCAAUGCAAGGCAUGUGAGCGGCUCCAAUCUUGAAGAUGUGGUGAGUACCCAUUUUUUUCAAUGUUUAAAUUUAUUAUUCUAAUUAUUUUCAAUUAUUAACUUGAUUUUUAUUUUAUUUCAUGGGUAGGAUAUGAAUGCAAGAAAACUUUUCUUAAAUGAUAAUAAAACUCUAAAUAGGCCUUUAAAGUUGUAUCAUGCUUGGCAAAUCUUAAAAGAUUGCCCAAAAUGGAACAACCUAUGUGAAUCUCCCACACAAACAUUCAAAGAUUCUUCUCAUAGUGGCAAUACAGUCAAUUUGGAGGAAGAUGAAGAUGAUG